CAGAAUUAUAUAUUCUCUAUACCCUUUUGUGAACCUAUCCUGUUGUUGCUUUGGCAGGCAGCUCUGCGUGUUCAGCAGGGCUCGCUGGGCUCCCUAACCGGGCCGCCUGCCAGAGGCCUUUUGGCGCUAUAAUUUCAGUGGUACAGACUUGUCUGAUUGAAAACAAAAAAUCGUUA
rnacentral:misc_RNA from 1 species